UACGGAGGGUGCAAGCGUUAUCCGGAUUCACUGGGUUUAAAGGGUGCGUAGGAGGGCAGGUAAGUCAGUGGUGAAAUCUCCAAGCUUAACUUGGAAACUGCCGUUGAUACUAUCUGUCUUGAAUAUUGUGGAGGUGAGCGGAAUAUGUCAUGUAGCGGUGAAAUGCUUAGAUAUGACAUAGAACACCAAUUGCGAAGGCAGCUCACUACUCAAUCAUUGACUCUGAGGUACGAAAGCGUGGGGAUCAAACAGG
rnacentral:rRNA from 1 species